rnacentral:rRNA from 1 species
UAGGGAGUAUUUGGCAAUGGGGGAAACCCUGACCGAGCAACGCCGCGUGUGUGAUGAAGGCCUUCGGGUUGUAAACACUGUGAUUCGCUGGGAAACUCAGGAGGAGUGGAAAGCCUUCUGACUGACCGGCCUAUUAGAAAGCAACUGCUAACUACGUGCCAGCAGCAGCGGUAAUACGUAGGUUGCAAGCGUUAUCCGGAAUUAUUGGGCGUAAAGAGUGAGCAGGCGGCUUUGUAAGCCAGGGGUUAAAUGCAGCAGCUUAACUGCUGUUCGUCCCUGGAACUGCAUGGCUAGAGUGCUGGAGAGGCAAGCGGAACUCCACAUGUAGCGGUGAAAUGCGCAGAUAUGUGGAAGAACACCAGUGGCGAAGGCG